CCUACGGGAGGCAGCAGUGAGGAAUCUUGGUCAAUGGACGAGAGUCUGAACCAGCCAAGUAGCGUGAAGGAUGACUGCCCUAUGGGUUGUAAACUUCUUUUAUAUGGGAAUAAAAUGUUCCACGUGUGGGAUUUUGUAUGUACCAUAUGAAUAAGGAUCGGCUAACUCCGUGCCAGCAGCCGCGGUAAUACGGAGGAUCCGCGCGUUAUCCGGAUUUAUUGGGUUUAAUGGGAGCGUAGGUGGAUUGUUAAGUCAGUUGUGAAAGUUUGCGGCUCAACCGUAAAAUUGCAGUUGAAACUGGCAGUCGUGAGUACAGUAGAGGUGGGCGGAAUUCGUGGUGUAGCGGUGAAAUGCUUAGAUAUCACGAAGAACUCCGAUUGCGAAGGCAGCUCACUGGACUGCAACUGACACUGAGGCUCGAAAGUGUGGGUAUCAAACAGGAUUAGAUACCCGGGUAGGC
rnacentral:rRNA from 1 species